AUGCUGCUUGUUACAAAUCACAUACUUCAGUACAGGGAAGAAAUAAUGGGAAAGAAUUUCUGUGAAGCUUCGUCAUUUCAGCAUCUCUGAUAAGAAGAAUAAAGUAAGUCUGAGUUGCCUUCUGCUUGUCUUCUGCUUGUGUUACAAGAAGUCUUUCGUGCGAAACUUCAGUUCAUUUCACUUGAAGAAUUGUUUUAGCUGUACGUUCAUUUUCAUUCAAAUCAAACUCAUUUUCAUGCUAAACAGUUUGCACGUGGACUCGUUUUGAAACAGAGGCACAAGACAACUCGGCUUGUUUACUUUUUCUUUUCUACACCUACUAAGAACCUUUAACUCGCUCUUGGAUUUCCAGGUUGAACUUCCUGGUGAAGUCAUAGAUGUUAGCUGUGGCGUGGAUCACAUGGCAGCCAUCCUAAAGUGCAGUUAACAUUUCAGCAGCAUGUGACACGAAAUGCCAUGCCACAUAAAAAUGUCACGCAACGCAAAGGUGAAGGAAAUCAGGCGCGUGAGUGACAGCACAAUGUUCAAGCAGAGAGGACAGAUGCUGCCUAUAAGUUUGUGUUUCUGUAAAAUUCAGAAUACAAGUGGCACAAGUGGAAAGUCCUCCCCUCAAUCGAGUAAUACGGUAGCGGAUUUCAUCGGAAAAAAAAGCAGUUAGUCCUUUCUAAAGUUUUCUCUAUACUUGCUGCACUUCACUCUGGUUGCUGUCUAAACUUUUACAAGCUACUUGAUGGAAGAGUAAGCGGAGCGGACAUUUUCAACGCAGUGAAAUUGCCCAGCGUCUUUUUUCAUUUUUGUUUUGUUUUGUUUUGUUUUGUUUUGUUUUUUUGUCUAGCUUCCAGAAGAAGUUGAUUCAUGUGGAGUGGUACCAGCAGUAAUGCUUCUUUGUGGAAUAGAACUCGGUCCCGGUGGGAGAGAGCUGAAAAAAAA